rnacentral:rRNA from 1 species
AUUGAACGCUGGCGGCAUGCCUUACACAUGCAAGUCGAACGGUAACAGGUUAAGCUGCCGAGUGGCGAACGGGUGAGUAAUGUAUCGGAACGUGCCCAGUCGUGGGGGAUAACUGCUCGAAAGAGCAGCUAAUACCGCAUACGACCUGAGGGUGAAAGCGGGGGAUCGCAAGACCUCGCGCGAUUGGAGCGGCCGAUAUCAGAUUAGGUAGUUGGUGAGGUAAAGGCUCAUCAAGCCGACGAUCUGUAGCUGGUCUGAGAGGACGACCAGCCACACUGGGACUGAGACACGGCCCAGACUCCUACGGGAGGCAGCAGUGGGGAAUUUUGGACAAUGGGCGCAAGCCUGAUCCAGCCAUGCCGCGUGCGGGAAGAAGGCCUUCGGGUUGUAAACCGCUUUUGUCAGGGAAGAAAAGGUUCUGGCUAAUACCUGGGACUCAUGACGGUACCUGAAGAAUAAGCACCGGCUAACUACGUG